GGAGAGAUGGCCGAGUGGCUGAAGGCGCUCCCCUGCUAAGGGAGUGUGGGUUUACGCCCACCGAGGGUUCGAAUCCCUCUCUCUCCGCCA
rnacentral:tRNA from 1 species